rnacentral:lncRNA from 1 species
UUUUUUUUUUAAUGUAUAACAAAAACAUCUAGACCAUACUUAAUAAUAAAUUCUAAUGUUGUUGACAUGAACUAGAAUCUCUCCUUUAAAAAAAUACAAAAUACAAUCUAAUAUUUAAGAUUGUAUAUAUGAUCAUUCAAAGCAUUUAUUGGUUAUUUAUAGUCAAGGAAGAACAUUAUUACUCGCAAACACAUAUGUGGUUCACGCACAUGGGUGUUCCUACGCAUGGCAUGUUUAAGCAAUCUUUGUUUGUACGACAACGAAUAAGGACGCCAUCAGAGCAGCCAGAGCAUUUAGGGUCAUAGUUCACUUUAACUUCAUUCACCACACCAGCCUCUUCUAUGGGUGCACCUGAGGAUGAAAGUUCUUCUCUUAGGUUAAAAUCUCUUCUCUUUUCACCGUCACACGUUCUUUCUUGUGAGAAUUUUGAUACCUACACAAUGCGUAGCCGUUACUGAACGACUGCAAAACUUGCACACGAAUACCCUUGUCGGAGGAUCUUCUCUCUUUACACGACUUGAGUUGUUUUGUCCUAAAGCACGUAUGUUCUCCACUGCAGUAUUUUUGUUCAAGUGAAGUCUGCUGUUGGAGUAAGGUGUGAAUAUCAUAGACAACAAAGUUGUCUUUUUAAAGUAACUAGAACAAACUUCACUUGAACAAAAAUAUCACAAUAGAGAACAUACUUGCUUUCGUUCAAAACGCUAAAGUCGUGUUAAGAGGGAAGAUCCUCCGACAAGAAGGGUGUUCGUUUGCAAGUUUUGCAGUCGAUCAGUAGCGGCCAAGCAUUGGGUGGACAUCAAAAUUCUCACAAGAAAGAACGUGCGGCGCUGAAAAGAGAAGAGAUUUUCUCACAGUAACUAGGUUAAAAUCUCUUCUCUUUUCACCGUCACACGUUCUUUCUUGUAGGAAUUUUGAUACCUACCCAAUGCGUAGGCGUUACUGAACGACUGCAAAACUUGCACACGAAUACCCUUGUCGGAGGAUCUUCUCUCUUAACACGACUUGAGUUGUUUUGUCCUAAAGCACGUAUGUUCUCCAUUGCAGUAUUUUUGUUCAAGUGAAGUCUGCUGUUGGAGUAAGGUGUGAAUAUCAUAAACAACAAAGUUGUCUUUUUAAAGUAUUUAGAACAAACUUCACUUGAACAAAAAUAUCACAAUAGAGAACAUACUUGUUUUCGUUCAAAACACUAAAGUCGUGUUAAGAGGGAAGAUCCUCCGACAAGAAGGGUGUUCGUUUGCAAGUUUUGCAGUCGAUCAGUAGCGGUCAAGCAUUGGGUGGAUAUCAAAAUUCUCACAAGAAAGAACGUGCGGCGCUGAAAAGAGAAGAGAUUUUCUCACAGUAACUAGGUUAAAAUCUUUCCCUUUUCACCGUCACACGUUCUUUCUUGUGGGAAUUUUGAUACCUACCCAAUGCGUAGCCGUUACUGAAGGACUGCAAAACUUGCACACGAAUACCCUUGUUGGAGGAUCUUCUCUCUUAACACGACUUGAGUUGUUUUGUCCUAAAGCACGUAUGUUCUCCAUUGCAGUAUUUUUGUUCAAGUGAAGUCUGCUGUUGGAGUAAGGUGUGAAUAUCAUAGACAACAAAGUUGUCUUUUUAAAGUAACUAGAACAAGCAGACCGCACAAAGGGAAAGAUCUCAAAUUGAUUAUCCAAAUAUAUUUCACACGUAUGAUUUAUAAUGUAGUAAUUUGAAAUUGUUUGAUUGAUAGAUUUAAAAUUUUCAAUACUCAAUAGGGAUCGAUCUGAUUAUGAACUGAUUCUAUUUUGUUUUACUUCAAAGAGACCUUUAUACUCAAUAUUAAUGAAAAAAGUUGGAUUAUCGAAAAAAUGAAGCUAAAACCUUAACUUUAUCUCCAAGUUUCAUACGGAAAAGAUAGAUAUGCAAUUUAUAAAUUCAAGCACAAUCUUUUUAAAUUAAUUUUCUUAAUUAUCAUAUAAAUUAACGUUAGUACUAUAAAUUGAAUUAAGGAGUUCAAAGAGUAGAAAAUAUGAGUCAUCAAACAUGCACUCGGGAUACAUAAGUCACCAACCGGGUGUGAGAUCACCACGACUCACCAUUCUACUAUCUACAUGCAGCUCACCCAUAAGUCUUGGUUGUCGCUCUAUGAGAAUGUGGGUCUAACGCAACUAGGGUCAUGAUGGGAAAAUGGAAAAUAAUAUAAAACAAUGAUAUAGAGUCAACAUCAAUUUAUUAAGAGAAAUUGGAACCCUCAAAACAAAUUUAAAAUGGUAUGUGAUUAGAGUUUUAAAUUCGGGAGUUGUUUACGUGUGGGGAAAGUAAAAACACCUACGACGUCCACAAGAACAGUACUUAAGAACAGUACUUCUAAUUAAUUAUACAAAAUCUAAUAAUUUCAAACCUACUUAUCAUACUGAAGAAAGAAGAUUUAAUAUUUUUUAUAUAUUUUUUGUUAAGUAAAAUAAAGGAUUAUUUAUUAAUUGGGCCAGGGACGGACACACUUGUAGUGUGUUGGGGUAACUGCCCCCAUAAGAUUUAAACAUUUUUGUAUAAUACUAGUAGACUAGUAGUCUAGUAUAUAUCAAAUAUUAGUUGCCCCAUGAUUUUUGAUAGUAUUAAAGUGCCCUAGGCCCGACCAUGCGAGUAUCCGUGUAUCUCUCCAAUGGUUCAACACUUUUUUUAGGUAAACAAGGGUAUAAUUAUAACUGAAGUUACAGCACGCCAUAUUUUCUUUGACUUAUGUUCUUGGGCUUUACCUCAUUGUUUUGUAAUAACUUAGUUGGGCUAGAUCUAUUUGAUCAGUACCAUUGCUAAUAUACUAAAACAUUAAAAUUUAUAUAUAAUAUUGGGAAAACAUAUUAUAAUUAUCAAUCUCAAAUAUAUGUAUUGGUAUUUUUCGAUGUACCAAAAAAAAAAAAAUAUAUGUAUUGGUGUAUUUUGGUACAUAUACUAUAUAUAUAUAAAUUGUUCAUAGUUAAAACUAUUUUUCAUGAAUUUUUCUCAUAAUUAUUUUUUCUUUUAUUAUUCCUAAUUCUUUAUUUAUCAUCAUUUGUAAUUUUAUUAUUUGUAUUGGGAAACACGUGGCCAAGAGAUUUGUAAUCAAUAUAAAUUUUAAUGAUGGUUAUUCAUGAUCUUUAUUUCUCAAAAAAAAUGUGGUUAUACUGAUUUUAAUUCUAUAAACAAAAUUCUUUUCCAGAAGAAAAUAAAAAACCAAGCAAACAUCUUCAAUUGCCGGUGUAACAAAAAAAAACAUCUUCAAUUGAAAUUCAUACAAUGAUUCGAAGGCAUUUUUGAUUACUUAUAUUUAUAUAUAAAUAGAGGGAGAAUAAUUAUGAUAUAAAUUCGUAUUUAUAAUAAUGGUAUGUACUAAUUAGGUAUAACACAAUUAAUAGAUAGUUGGACUCUUUAAGAGUCUAGUCCAGGAUUUGAUUCCCGGUGGUGCGUAUGGAAAAAUAUUUGUUAGAAUAGGCCUACCCACUUAACAUCAUUUAUAACUUUAAGGAUUAGUCUCAUCACUGUUAGUUGUAGGAAUACCUUGGGGGAUAAAACGAAGUAAUAGUAUGUUAUAUUUUUAAUGCAUGUUACAAAUUUUUGAGAGUUUUAUAUUACGUUUAUAUUUUUGAAGGAAGAGAAUUUUAUAUUACGUUGAACACAAACUUUGUACACAAUCUUUCUAAUUCUAAUUUUUAAUUUUAGACAAAAAUAAACACUAUGAUAAAAUCACCUAAUGAAAUCAAACAAUAAUAUCACAUCAUAUAAAAAUAGGAAAAUAACAAAAUCAAGUGUCAAAUGAGAUUAACCUUAAAAGAUGCAUCAACACUCAUCCUGUUGUAUCCUUUGAAGCAGCAUCAGAAGCUUUCAUUAGACGAAACUGACCUUGUCUUUGUCUCUGGACAUUUCAAUCAAGCACCCUCCAUGUUAGCACAAAAAAUCACGUUCC